AAGUCGUAACAAGGUUUCCGUAGGUGAACCUGCGGAAGGAUCAUUAACACGUAUCCAACGUUAAACCCCCUGUGAACCUUCAUUGUACGAGUUACAUCCACGUCAUAAACCGGCAAUCUCGUUUUGAUUCAGAGACCUCUGGGAAGGGUGUACGGUAGUGCGAGGCAAUUGACCUGGCAUUCCUCUGCUUGUUAGUGUCUGAAAGUGUCACUAGCUAUGUACGGAUGGCGCAGUAACGAUCGCUGGAGGCCGACACGGCCGGCGACCAGGUCACUGGGCUACGGCCCCCCUGAUCACAACCUUUGCAUGAAAACGGGCCUGCGCUGAGGUGCGGCCACCCCUAAUGCUUGAACAACUGUUAACAAUGGAUAUCUUGGUUCUC
rnacentral:misc_RNA from 1 species